GCCCAUAGAUAUCUAAAACGUAAAUGCGC
rnacentral:sRNA from 1 species